UAAUUUCUUGGCUCGAAAACUGAGGGAGAUGGCAUACGUUUCGGUACUAUCUCUUUCAUGACACGCUACGCACUAUCGUGAGAGAGAUAGAUAUUGUCCGAAACUUCGAUCCAUCUUUUUCUUUCUACCCUUUGUAUGUUUGUAUAUCUAUUAUCUAUGGUUGUGAUGUAAAAUGGCGUGAAGAUAACGCUUGUUAUUUGCUUUACUUGCUUUUUGGUUAUACAAUAAUUGAGAGAGAAUUAAUGUUCAGUUUGGUGAUAUUGAAACAGCCAAGGUCGUCUACAUGGGUGUGGUCUUUCGUGGAUUAUAUUCUUGAUUUGGUGUUUCGUCUUCGCCUAGUAACAUCAUGCAGUUAAUUUUCAACCCGUGAGUGAGAGCAACUGGAUAUUUGAAUUCCACUAAAUUAAGAAGUUCCCUGCUGCCGUAUUCCUCCUGGAGUUGGUUUACUUUUCACACCUGUUAACUUUGGAAUGUUACAUUCUAUAAUUAAUUAAGAUCGACGUUGGAGAAGACAAAGAUGAUCCAGUCGUUCAAAUAGUUCUUUAUUUUGCAUGUUUUUUUUGUAGUUUCUUGUAGUUACUUGUAGUUAAUUUGAUUUAGUUUUUAUUUUGCA